AGUCACUGACAUUAGAUACCCGCGUAGUCCCAGCCGUAAACUAUGCGCGUUAGGUGUAUCGGUGACCACGAGUUACCGAGGUGCCGAAGGGAAACCGUGAAACGUGCCGCCUGGGAAGUACGGUCGCAAGGCUGAAACUUAAAGGAAUUGGCGGGGGAGCACCGCAACGGGAGGAGCGUGCGGUUUAAUUGGAUUCAACACCGUAAACUCACCAGGGAAGACUGUUACAUGAAGGCCGAGAUGAAGACUCUGCCAGAUUUUCAG
rnacentral:rRNA from 1 species